UUGUAAUGUGUCAGGUUGACUAGAUUGAAUUACAUUUCCCUUACCUCUAUGUUUCCAGGUAAGGAGGGUCACAAGAGAGAUUCUUGUGUGAGAUCUGGUGGUGGGAGAGAAGCAGCAACCUUCAUUGUUCACCUUCCAAUUCACCCUAUUGGUGUGAUACGGCAGCCAGGCCAGCAACUGCUCCAUCUUCUCCUAUACUCUCCUUCAACUGCUCUGACUCUUGGGCCAGGAGCGGUGAAAAAGAAGAGGCAAGACCGGCCCCCAGACCGACCAAAGCCCACGUGCCGCCACACCCCACGCCCAGCGCGCCGACGUCCCGCCACUGUCGCUGCCACCAUCAUGCCCAAGAGCUGAAGGGGAUGCUAGAGAUAAAGCCAAGGUGAAGGACGAACCACAGAGAAGAUCCGCGAGGUUGUCUGCUAAACCUGCUCCUCCAAAGCCAGAGCCCACGCCUAAAAGGCCCCUGCAAAGAAGGGAGAGAAGGUACCCAAAGGGAAAAAGGGAAAAGCCGAUGCUGGCAAGGAGGGAAAUAACCCUGCAGGAAAUGGAGAUGCCAAAACAGACCAGGCACAGAAAGCUGAAGGUGCUGGAGAUGGCAAGUUGAGUGUAUGCAUUUUGGAUAACAGUGUACUUCUGGUGACUGUACAGUUUGAAAUACUAUUUUUUAUCAAGUUUUAUAAAAAUGCAGAAUUUUGUUUUACUUUUUUUUUAAGCUGUGUUGUUAGCACACGGAACACUUCAUUGCUGUUUUUGGGGUAAGGGGCAUAUGUCACUAAUAGAAUGUCUCUGAAGCUGGAUUGAUGUGAGGAAAACAACUUUCCCUUCUAGUUUUGAGAGACUUCCUCUUGGCUCCCAGGAGGAGGGAUUCCCUGACUUUGACACACAUGGCCACCUUGGCACAAAAGCCUUGUGGUAUGGAAAUACAAAUCCAUUUUUAUGUCCUCUUCUCCCUUUCCAUCCUUCAGCAUAGACUUAACUCCCUUAAGCCCAGACAUCUGUUGGGCUGACCCCCAGUCAUUGGUUACCAGUGUGUCAGGCAAUCUGGACUUUCCAGUGAUGCCACUGAGAUGGCACCUGUCAAAACAGCAGUGGUUCCGUUUCUAGAUUAUGGAUCUUCAGAUAAAUUCUACCAUUUUCAUUUAACUUCCUGAAAGUCAGGGUCGGCUUGUGAAAAGUUGUUAAACAACAUGCUAAAUGUGAAAUGUCAACCCUCACUCUAAACUUUCCCUGUUCAGAGCAUCAGAUGAAGACUUUGUUAGAUUUUAUAGUGGCUUUCUGAUUUUGGUAGUCCAUUGAAGAAGGGAGUUUGAAAGUUGUUGUAUACUGUUAACAAUUGUCUGCCCAUAUCCUGCCUGAAAUGCCAUGAUUGUUUAUGGAAAGUAUCUUUAAUAAAGCUGGAUACAGUUUGGCUUGGAAAAAAAGAA